rnacentral:rRNA from 1 species
UGGGGAAUUUUGGACAAUGGGCGAAAGCCUGAUCCAGCAAUGCCGCGUGUGUGAAGAAGGCCUUCGGGUUGUAAAGCACUUUUGUCCGGAAAGAAAUCCUUGGCUCUAAUACAGUCGGGGGAUGACGGUACCGGAAGAAUAAGCACCGGCUAACUACGUGCCAGCAGCCGCGGUAAUACGUAGGGUGCAAGCGUUAAUCGGAAUUACUGGGCGUAAAGCGUGCGCAGGCGGUUUGCUAAGACCGAUGUGAAAUCCCCGGGCUCAACCUGGGAACUGCAUUGGUGACUGGCAGGCUAGAGUAUGGCAGAGGGGGGUAGAAUUCCACGUGNAGCAGUGAAAUGCGUAGAGAUGUGGAGGAAUACCGAUGGCGAAGGCAGCCCCCUGGGCCAAUACUGACGCUCAUGCACGAAAGCGUGGGGAGCAAACAGGAUUAGAUACCCUGGUAGUCCACGCCCUAAACGAUGUCAACUAGUUGUUGGGGAUUCAUUUCCUUAGUAACGUAGCUAACGCGUGAAGUUGACCGCCUGGGGAGUACGGUCGCAAGAUUAAAACUCAAAUGAAUUGACGGGGUCAUAGCUGUUUCCU